GAGUGGCGGACGGGUGAGUAAUGUCUGGGAAACUGCCUGAUGGAGGGGGAUAACUACUGGAAACGGUAGCUAAUACCGCAUAACGUCGCAAGACCAAAGAGGGGGACCUUCGGGCCUCUUGCCAUCAGAUGUGCCCAGAUGGGAUUAGCUAGUAGGUGGGGUAACGGCUCACCUAGGCGACGAUCCCUAGCUGGUCUGAGAGGAUGACCAGCCACACUGGAACUGAGACACGGUCCAGACUCCUACGGGAGGCAGCAGUGGGGAAUAUUGCACAAUGGGCGCAAGCCUGAUGCAGCCAUGCCGCGUGUAUGAAGAAGGCCUUCGGGUUGUAAAGUACUUUCAGCGGGGAGGAAGGUGUUGUGGUUAAUAACCGCAGCAAUUGACGUUACCCGCAGAAGAAGCACCGGCUAACUCCGUGCCAGCAGCCGCGGUAAUACGGAGGGUGCAAGCGUUAAUCGGAAUUACUGGGCGUAAAGCGCACGCAGGCGGUCUGUCAAGUCGGAUGUGAAAUCCCCGGGCUCAACCUGGGAACUGCAUUCGAAACUGGCAGGCUGGAGUCUUGUAGAGGGGGGUAGAAUUCCAGGUGUAGCGGUGAAAUGCGUAGAGAUCUGGAGGAAUACCGGUGGCGAA
rnacentral:rRNA from 1 species